GUGUUUGUAGUCCAACGGUUAGGAUAAUUGCCUUCCAAGCAAUAGACCCGAUCCCGACAUACACA
rfam:Macleaya cordata isolate BLH2017 scaffold1777, whole genome shotgun sequence.